UUUAAAUUUAGUCUCUCAUACAAAUGUUUCACAACGUUGUGCAGGAAGGAGUUGCCCAUUUGCUUCUCUAAAGAAUUACCAAGUUGAUAGAAACAAAGAAAUGAUGGCCCUCAGUCUCUAAUGAACACGGCUGGUUCUUGCACUUCAUGCUAUCUUACGUUAGUGCUUGAAAUUGCAGGUUGGGGUUCCUGUAGUCAAGAUUCUUUUGCAUGUCACCAGGCCAAACACAGGAAAUUGGGAAUAUAUUCCAUCAACACAAAUACAAAGGUGCCUUCAUUUCUCAUACUGGCCACCCGAUUUCCAAUCUACUUCGAAAAUUCAACUUAUCUACAAGAAAGCUUGUGUGUGAAUGUGAUGGAGAAAUUACAUAAUUCCAAAAUCCUUUGGAAUGAAUUCAGUCUAUCUCACAGUGGGAGACAUCUUAGCACCAUGGAAGCCUCAGGGGAAGAAAUAAUAAUUACGUUUGGUUCAUUGAUAUUGAAUAAGAUAAGGAUGUAAUAGAUAUUUGAUGGGAAUAAAAUGAGGAGGUAAUAGAUAUUAACUAGUUUGAUUGAUUAAAUAGAAUAAAUAAAUAAUAGUUUUACAUAA